AGCAGCCGCGGUAAUUCCAGCUCCAAUAGCGUAUAUUAAAGUUGUUGCAGUUAAAAAGCUCGUAGUUGAAUUUCGGGAUUGACACAUCGGUCGUGCCUUAAGGGGUGUGAACUGGUGUAGUCAAUUUCUCACCUUCUGGAGAACCGCGAUGUCCUUAAUUGGGUGCCGCGAGGAACCAGGACCUUUACUUUGAAAAAAUUAGAGUGUUUAAAGCAGGCAUUUUUGCUUGAAUACAUUAGCAUGGAAUAAUAAAGUAGGACGGCAUGAUUCUAUUUUGUUGGUUUCUAGGAUCACCGUAAUGAUUGAUAGGGAUAGUUGGGGGCAUUAGUAUUCAAUUGUCAGAGGUGAAAUUCUUGGAUUUAUUGAAGACUAACUACUGCGAAAGCAGUUGCCAAGGAUGUUUUCAUUAAUCAAGAACGAAAGUUAGGGGAUCGAAGACGAUCAGAUACCGUCGUAGUCUUAACCAUAAACUAUGCCGACUAGGAAUCAGACGAUGUUAAUUUUUUAAUGACUCGUUUGGCACCUUACG
rnacentral:rRNA from 1 species